rnacentral:rRNA from 1 species
CUGGCUCAGGACGAACGCUGGCGGCGUGCUUCAUACAUGCAAGUCGAACGAUAAGGUCUCUUCGGAGAUACAUAAGUGGCGGACGGGUGAGUAAAAUGUAGAGAAUCUGCCCUUAAGCGGGGGACAACAGAGGGAAACUUCUGCUAAUACCCCAUAUGAGCGUAGCUGAAAUGCUAUUCUUGAAAACUCCGGUGCUUAAGGAUGAGUCUGCAUCUGAUUAGCUAGUUGGGGGUGUAAUGGACCACCAAGGCGACGAUCAGUAGCUGGUUUGAGAGGAUGAUCAGCCACAAUGGGACUGAGACACGGCCCAUACUCCUACGGGAGGCAGCAGUAGGGAAUUUUGCGCAAUGGGGGAAACCCUGAACCGCAGCAACGCCGCGUGACCGAUGAAGCCCUUCGGGGUGUAAAGGUCUGUCAGUGGGGACGAAACUUGACGGUACCCACAGAGGAAGCAUCGGCUAACUCCGUGCCAGCCGCCGC